GACGAACGCUGGCGGCGUGCCUAAUACAUGCAAGUCGAGCGCAGGAAGCCGUCUGAACCCUUCAGGGGGACGACGGUGGAAUGAGCGGCGGACGGGUGAGUAACACGUAAAGGACCUGCCCAUAGGUCUGGGAUAACCACGAGAAAUCGGGGCUAAUACCGGAUGUGUCAUCGGACCGCAUGGUCCGCUGAUGAAAGGCGCUCCGGCGUCGCCCAUGGAUGGCUUUGCGGUGCAUUAGCUAGUUGGUGGGGUAACGGCCCACCAAGGCGACGAUGCAUAGCCGACCUGAGAGGGUGAUCGCCCACACUGGGACGGAGACACGGCCCAGACUCCUACGGGAGGCAGCAGUAGGGAAUCUUCCACAAUGGACGAAAGUCUGAUGGGGCAACGCCGCGUGAACGAGGAAGGCUUUCGGGUCGUAAAGUUCUGUUGUAAGGGAAGAACAAGUGCCGCAGGCAAUGGCGGCACCUUGACGGUACCUUGCGAGAAAGCCACGGCUAACUACGUGCCAGCAGCCGCCGUAA
rnacentral:rRNA from 1 species